rnacentral:tRNA from 4 species
GCACGGGUGGCGAAACUGGUAGACGCACUACCUUGAGGUGGUAGCGCCCGCAAGGGCAUGGAAGUUCAAAUCUUCUCUCGUGCACAA